rnacentral:rRNA from 1 species
CUUGGUCAUUUAGAGGAGUAAAAGUCGUAACAAGGUUUCCGUAGGUGAACCUGCGGAAGGAUCAUAAUGUAACCGGACCGGUCCUUUGCCGUAAAACGCACCGGAUUGGAAAGGAGAUAUCAUACACCCUGUGUUUAUUUACCUUUGUUGCUUUGGCGGGCCGCCUUUAGGCGUCGGCCCCGGCUGAUCGCGCCCGCCAGAGGACCCAAACUUUUUAUCAGUGAUGUCUGAGUACUAUAUAAUAGUUAAAACUUUCAACAAGGAUCUCUUGGUUCUGGCAUCGAUGAAGAACGCAGCGAAAUGCGAUAAGAAUGUGAAUUGCAGAAUUCAGUGAAUCAUCGAAUCUUUGAACGCACAUUCGCCCGCUGGUAUUCCGGCGGGCAUGCCUGUUCGAGCGUCAUUAUGACCAUCAAGCUCUGCUUGGCCUUGGGGCCCGCUGUACCGGCGGCCCUUAAAAUAGUGGCGGUGCCGUCUGGCUCUAAGCGUAGUAAUACUUCUCGCUAUAGGUCCAGUCGUUUACCCGCCAGAACCCCCAACUUUCUUAGGUUGACCUCGAUCAGGUAGGGAUACCCGCUGAACUUAAGCAUAUCAAUAAGCGGG